CAGAAGAAAGUGAGGAGACCACUUACGAACUUGGAGAAGAUAUUUUCUGCAAGCGUAGUGAAGAAAGAUCCACGCCCCAGUGCACAGGCAGCGUCACGCUAAGGGCCCCAUGGAAGGAAGGGCAGGAAGAGGCUGAGCUGCUCCGCAGGGGAGACGCAGCCAGGAGGGCCGAGACACACUCCCACCACCGGCGGCCGGGGAGGGUGCGUCAAAGUCACGGGAGAUGCAAUUAC
rnacentral:lncRNA from 1 species